rnacentral:rRNA from 1 species
UACGGGGGGGGCAAGCGUUGUUCGGAAUUACUGGGCGUAAAGGGCCCGUAGGCGGCCAACUAAGUCGGAUGUGAAAUCCCCAGGCUUAACCUGGGAACUGCAUCCGAUACUGGAUGGCUUGAAUUCGGGAGAGGGAUGCAGAAUUCCAGGUGUAGCGGUGAAAUGCGUAGAUAUCUGGAGGAAUACCGGUGGCGAAGGCGGCAUCCUGGACCGAGAUUGACGCUGAUGAGCGAAAGCUAGGGGAGCAAACGGG